rnacentral:misc_RNA from 1 species
CUGUGAUUGAAAUGCACAUAAAGCACUGGAAGAAAAUAGUGAUAAAAUCUUAGACAAACUUGACAAUAAAUACAAAGAUUAUUAUGGUUUAUUAUAUUUAAAAACCAUUCAUAUAUAAAGGCUAAAUGAAAUAUUAAGACAUUUGUUUAACUCGCUUACGACCUGACACAACAGAAUGAAAAUGGUACUAUUUUACAUCGCACUUCAACUGAUUUUAAUAUCGGAAGUAAUAUGUGGAAGAUUUCCGAGAGAAGUGGAGGAAGGACAAAGUGUAAAUAACAAAAGUAAAACAGAUGAGGAUAAAAAGAUCUUUAACAUAUUAAGAUGCAACCAGAGAAAAGAACGCUACAUCAGUCCUGGCGACUGGAGAGAGCUACAAUUAGAAUACUACGAGUGUGUCAAUUCAUAUUAUCAACGUCGUAAAUGCCCUGAAGGACUUGGAGUCGGAAAUGCCUUCGUAGCAAUGGGAAGCAUCGGAAUACCAACCCGAGAAUGGCCGUGUUUGAAAAAUCUAUGCAUUAAAGAAUAUGUGGCGUGUCCAGAGAAAGUUUGGUGUCCAGUAUAUGAACAAUGCGAUCCUAACAGCUUACGAUUUCCAGUUUUUCCAGUAGGAUUUGAUCAAGGAGCUCUGAAAUUCUGCGGCCUUGACAUUGUGGUUGCCCUCGACAUAAGCUGUUCGAUAUCUGAGGAAAACAAAACAACCGUGAAAAAUUUUAUGAAAGACUUGAUAAAAAAAUUUACGAUACAUCCCGUUGAAACUCAAAUUGGUGGAUUAACAUUUGGUCAAGAGAUACAUAAUAUACAGACGCUUAAACAAGGUCGCAAUAAACCAUUCACACUUCGAAACUUCGACAGGAUGGUAAUGACUGAAAGCAAAUGUAUAACGGCGACAGACUUGGCUUUGGAAGCUGUUAGAGACACCUAUUUUCAAGAAACGCAUGGAGAAAGGGCAGAGAUGAAGAAUGUCCUUAUUGUGACGACAGAUGGACAGACCCAUUAUGGAAGGGAUGAGAAAGUCAAAGCAGCAAAGAUCAGAGUCAGGGAAAUUGCAGAGGAAUUAAGGACUAAGAGGCAGGUUCAGACAUAUACUAUUGCUUUACCAAGUGAAAAGUUCUCCAGGCUCAGACAAGAUAGCGAAAAAGCCCUUAAACAGGCGAGAAUAAAAAAAGAGGCUGAAGAACAAUGGCUGCAAAUAGCUGGAUCUGAAGAUCGAGUUUUCACGCUUGAUACAUUUGAAGAGCUUGGGCAAACACUUGUCACAAUUGCAGCGAUUAACUGUAGAAAUAUCAUUAACUAUUAUGGGGAUCCCUGGGAAAAUAUCAGCCAAGAAUAAUACACUGCCGAUUUUUCUUUUCCUUGAUCUAUGAGAAUCCUUUUUAUGUCUUAAUAUUAAGUAAUUGUAACCUACCAGUGCAUGAUGGGAAGAAGAUUGCUAGUAGGACCAUGAAUGACGAUGUGAUAUCUGCAAUAAUUUCUCCUCUGUCCCGAUUUCCCACUACAUUAGAGCCAUACAGGUUUCCUUGGGUGCUGUAUGUGUUCCCAAGAUUCUCUGGAACAAAAUAUAAAUAUCAUGGUAUGCUUAAGUUCAACUUUUUGAAAACGUAAUAUUGAAUUGAGAAGGUUUUAUAAUACUGAUUCAAACUUUUCACUAUUUCAAAAAAUUUUCUGAAAAAAGUGAAAAAAAAAUUUAAAAAAUUUAAAUAGAAUCUAAGAAGGUAGAUUGUCUCCGGAACAUUAGUAGGUAUGGGAUACAUCUGUCAUAUAUGGUCGGUUUCAGAUAUAGGAUGUCUCUGGAACAUUAGUAGGAUGUCUUUAGAACAUUAGUAGGUAUGGGAUACAUCUGUCAUAUAUGGUUGGUUUCGGAUAUAGGAUGUCUCUAGAACAUUAGUAGGUAUGGGAUACAUCUGUCAUAUAUGGUCGGUUUCAGAUAUAGGAUGUCUCCAGAACAUUAGCAGGUAUGGGAUCCAUCUGUCAUAUAUGGUCGGUU